rnacentral:rRNA from 1 species
CAUGCCGUAAACGAUGAAAACUUGCUGUUAGAUAUAUAAAUGUAUUUAGUGGCGUAGCUAACGCGUUAAGUUUUCCACCUGGGGAGUACGAUCGCAAGGUUAAAACUCAAAGGAAUUGACGGGGGCCCGCACAAGCGGUGGAGCAUGUGGUUUAAUUCGAUGCUACACGAAAAACCUUACCUACCCUUGAUCUCCGUAACUGAAUAGAGAUAUUCGGGUGCCUUAGGGAAACGGAUGACAGGUGC